rnacentral:rRNA from 1 species
CUCCAGACUCCUACGGGAGGCAGCAGUGGGGAAUAUUGCACAAUGGGGGAAACCCUGAUGCAGCGACGCCGCGUGAGUGAAGAAGUAUUUCGGUAUGUAAAGCUCUAUCAGCAGGGAAGAUAAUGACGGUACCUGACUAAGAAGCCCCGGCUAACUACGUGCCAGCAGCCGCGGUAAUACGUAGGGGGCAAGCGUUAUCCGGAUUUACUGGGUGUAAAGGGAGCGUAGGUGGCAGGGCAAGUCAGAUGUGAAAACCCGGGGCUCAACCCCGGGAGUGCAUUUGAAACUGUCCAGCUGGAGUGCAGGAGAGGUAAGCGGAAUUCCUAGUGUAGCGGUGAAAUGCGUAGAUAUUAGGAGGAACACCAGUGGCGAAGGCGGCUUACUGGACUGUAACUGACGUUGAGGCUCGAAAGCGUGGGGAGCAAACAGGAUUAGAUACCCCCGUAG